AGUUAUGUCCAGGGCAAGAAACGAGGCUUUCUUCUAAUCUUGUGGCCAUGAUAGAUGAUGGAUGGACAUUUCAUGGGAUGCAAUUCAUAAAAGGAGGAAGAAUGACAAGUAGAAGUGAGCUGGCCAGCUGGAACACAGUGGGCAGUUGAGAGGAUGCUGGUCCUGCAGUAGACUCUUGGCAAUGUUCUUCUCUGAAGGAAUACUUUCAGUGUGCUGUACUGUUUUCCAGCACUUCUUUAGAGAAUCGUCUAAGCUGGCAUAAGCAUCAAAGGGAUAAGAGAAGAACAGGGGAGUGGGGCAAGUGUCUGCAGUGUGUCUCCAAUGAAUGGCUGACAGUAGCAAACAGCCUUUCAGAGCCUGGCAAUGAGUGGACUGAUAACAAGAGAGGCCACUGAGGAUGGACAGACAGUCACUGAAGUAUGAAGAUAUGUUGGUGUGGAAGGAGAAUUUUUUACGUACAGAGAGCGCUGCUUAUGCAGGGGUCAUCCUUGUUUGUGAAACAAUCAUCUGCAGCCUACAAUCUGAAAAUGAAACUAUUUCCUGAGAACCUUUUCAGCAGUAAGGCAAGUUGGUCACCUAGUCAAGCAGAUUCUCUGAAGCCAAUGAAUUCCUGUACAUCAAGAGAGUAGAAGCCUUCUCUGCAAGUGAUUUCUGUAUCAAAUUAUUCCCCGUCGUUGGAUUGUGCAAGGAAAUGAAAUCAGGAGAGAAAGGGAACAGAUCAGCAUGAAGCCGAU